AGUUUUUAUGAAAUAUCAGCACUUUUCUUUUAUCAGGGGGAAGGAGUGAGGAAAGUACCAUACAACAGCAGACUUAAACUUUAAAUAAAACAAACAGGUCUGAGUAUCGGAACUUACUUUCUCAUUUUACAUGAUCUUCUAGGAAGUUCAGUCACGUGGCAUGCCUGCUUCACUUCUUUGAAGACAAAGAGUAUGCUAAUAAU
rnacentral:other from 1 species